AAACAACCAAAGAAGGAAAAACCUGUAAAAGCAGCUGUAGCUGUAGAAGCCCAUAAGCCAAAAGAAGCUGAACAAGCUAAACAAGAACCUAUUAUACACCUGACUAAAACAG